UUCAAGUCCCAAGCAGAGGUGUUUUCGAAGUUAUUCUUGAGAGAUAAAGCGUUAGAAUCACAGGCUUGACCCAGUUCGAUAUGAUUAUUAGUUAAACUCUUCAAAUACCAUCACUCUUAAAUCCAUAACAACUACGCCACAGCGCACGAAAUUAACCCAAGUUCAACUUUCGUAAAUCACAAUUCACAAAGCUGAAAUCACAAAUCAAACAAAACUGCUAUUUUCUCACAACUCGAUAUUCAAUAGUAUUCGAUAGCCAUAUUAUUACCUCAGUUAAAAGUUUAACUGAAAUUUCGAUCCAAUUCUAGUUUCCUUCAUUUUUUUCUGAAGUUUCUAUUUUUGUUAUCCAAGAGGUCAUCUAUUUGUGUUGUCAAAGAACUUUUAUCCUAUUUCAGCUAGCCGAAAGGCAUAAAACAUUCUAAAAUGGGUAAUCAGAUGUCAGAUGUUCGACCUUACGCUGAUUCGGUUUACAGUUCGUCUGGUCAAACUAUUGGUGGUCGAGGCGAGAUCAACAUCGAGCUCGACUCGGGAAACGAAGUCAACAAACCUUUGUUUGGCGAAGAGGUCCCGAGACCAGGCGCAGAAGUAAAAUUGUUCCGUUGGAACUCAGGUCGAACUACACUUUUGCGAGUGGACAGCUUCGGCAACAAGAAAGAUGUGAGCAGUUCCUUCAACCGUAGAAUCACAAUGGAAGCUUUGUCCGAGGAAUGAAAUCAAAGUGAACACAAAACCAAACACUACCCUCGUUAGACUGAUUUUGUGCUAUUAGUGAUAUUACCCCAUCAUUAUUUGAUUCAGUGAUAUUUUUAGCGAUAAAUUAAAAAUUUUCGAUUUCAAA